UGAGCUAUUAUUUGCUUCUCAAAGGAUUUGUUACCCAACAAAACUAAAUAGAAUUCCUACCUAUUGUAGAGCCCCCUUUGUACACUUCAAUAUGAAUUUAUUUGUAGGUUUACUCCUUACUUCAGUAUAGCAAAGUACAACCAGGAUGGAUUCCAACCUCCAGGCCCAUAUCUCCCAUAAAUACUCCCGUAGAAAGGGAAGGUGGGUUCUUUAAUGGAAACCACAAGUAUCUCUUUGAGGCAGACAUCUGAACUCAUGACUAACUUCUUAGAAAAUGUACUCAAAGGGCCAGGCACGGUGGCUCAUGCCUGUAGUCCCAGCACUUUGGGAGGCCAAGGCAGGUGGAUCACGAAGUCAGGAGAUCGAGACCAUCCUGGCUAAC
rnacentral:lncRNA from 1 species